AGCGAACGCUGGCGGCAGGCUUAACACAUGCAAGUCGAACGGUCCUUCGGGAUAGUGGCGGACGGGUGAGUAACACGUGGGAACGUACCCUUAGGUUCGGAACAACACAGGGAAACUUGUGCUAAUACCGGAUAAGCCCUUCGGGGGAAAGAUUUAUCGCCUUUGGAGCGGCCCGCGUCUGAUUAGCUUGUUGGUGGGGUAAUGGCUCACCAAGGCUACGAUCAGUAGCUGGUCUGAGAGGAUGGCCAGCCACACUGGGACUGAGACACGGCCCAGACUUCUACGGGAGGCAGCAGUGGGGAAUCUUGCGCAAUGGGCGAAAGCCUGACGCAGCCAUGCCGCGUGGAUGAUGAAGGUCUUAGGAUUGUAAAAUCCUUUCACCGGGGACGAUAAUGACGGUACCCGGAGAAGAAGCCCCGGCUAACUUCGUGCCAGCCGCCGCAGUAA
rnacentral:rRNA from 1 species